UACGGAGGGUGCAAGCGUUAUCCGGAUUCACUGGGUUUAAAGGGUGCGUAGGUGGGAAUGUAAGUCAGUGGUGAAAUCUUCGUGCUUAACAUGGAACUGCCAUUGAUACUAUGUUUCUUGAAUUUUCUGGAGGUAAGCGGAAUAUGUCAUGUAGCGGUGAAAUGCUUAGAUAUGACAUAGAACACCAAUUGCGAAGGCAGCUUGCUACAGGGAUAUUGACACUGAGGCACGAAAGCGUGGGGAUCAAACAGG
rnacentral:rRNA from 1 species